rnacentral:rRNA from 1 species
UACGUAGGGGGCUAGCGUUGUCCGGAAUCAUUGGGCGUAAAGAGCGCGUAGGCGGCCAGAUAAGUCCGGUGUGAAAGUCAAAGGCUCAACCUUUGAAUGCCGCUGGAAACUGUCUGGCUAGAGUCCGGGAGGGGCGAGUGGAAUUCCUGGUGUAGCGGUGAAAUGCGCAGAUAUUGGGAGGAACACCAGUGGCGAAGGCGGCUCGCUGGACCGGAACUGACGCUGAGGCGCGAAAGCGUGGGGAGCAAACAGG